GAGCCAGAGAGACGUCACGGCCAGCCGCAGCCAUGAAGACUGAGCGGUCCAGCCUCCGGCAGCUCAGUUGGUCUCCAUCUCCCGAGCUGCUCGUUUUCGCUUUUGGAGAGCGGACCCCGCAGAGACUCGCAGACGACGGCGUCAGAACUUGGGCCAUGUCACUUCGCCUGAGGCUUGAGAGGAUGGGUAGCCUUAGGGGUUGGUUGUUAUCUUUGGUUAUCUAGCUGUAUGAGUGAUGUACAUUCUUCAUAAAGCUAGAUAACCGAAAGUAACAAGAAUCCCAUUACACUCCUGAAAAGGCAUCAAGACCCCAAACGCGCCUCCCUCAACAAAAAGUACAAACUCUGCCAUCAGAACUGCAACACGACAGAAGAAAAUGGACGACAUUUAAAAGGAGCCGAAUGCAGUAAAAGGCUACCACCACACCACCACCACUGAAGGAAAGCUGGCAAAAGGAGACUGAAAAACAGAGAAGAAGGAGGAGGAGGGGUUGCUGUUGAUUCUGCCCUCCCUCUCUCCUCGCCCUCCUCUGCAUCGCCUCUUCCCUCCGCCUCCUCCUUCCUCCUCCGCUCCAUCCUCAGCAGACUGCCCCUUUUUCCUGUACAGCGAGACGCAGCCCGCGCCACCAUCUUAGAGCAACGCUGGCAUGAAAUGGAAGUGGGAAGACCAGUCAGUGCAGGUGAAUGUGUCGGUGCAGGGGGGGAUCCAAAACAACCAGAGCAAACAAUGGAGAGAUAGCAGGAGGACUCCUCCGUCAGCCUCUCAGCCAGGACUAAACAAGGAGGAGGUCUGCAUGCGAUACCUGCCGUGACUUUGGAACAGCGCCGCACUGUUUGCACCUCUUCGAUGCGGCUGUGUGAUGCAUUGUGUGACCCGAGCAAGACUGGCUGCGGGCGCCUUUUGGCAUCUUAGCCGAGCAAACAUCACAGUGGACUGUGACUGCAGGACAAGGGGCUCAGGCUGAAGAUCUGCAGCUGUGGACUAACCGGUCCAUAACUGUUGUGACUCUUGAGGGUGUGGCACUGAAUUGUGUAAUUAUUAUUCUUACAUAUAAAAUAAAAAUAAUAAUUAGAAAUGAAGCAAUAUAAUGUGUCUUCAACUAACAUAGGUUUGACUUACUGUAGGUCUCAUUUGACAAGUUGUAGCCCGAAUUUUGUUUGAUUUGUUUUGUUAUAGUUGCUAGGACUCAAAGACACGUGAAUGUGAGACCCACGGCAGCAGUGAAUAAUACUGCACUGCGAUUGGACAGCUCCAUGUGUCGGCUGACACAAUGGCGAAGGAGUGAGCUGUCGUCUUUAUACUCUAUGCAACUGUUUUAUCUUUUUUUUGUGGUCAUUUUUCCGUCUUGGAGCUCC